UCGUCCGUUCGUCCGUCUGUCCCGCUUCAGGUUAAAGUUUUUGGUCGAGGUAGUUUUUGAUGAAGUUGAAGUCCAAUCGACUUCAAACUUGGUACACAUGUUCCCUAUGAUAUGAUCUUUCUAAUUUUAAUGCCAAAUUAGAGAUUUUACCCCAAUUUCACGGUCCACUGAACAUAGAAAAUGAAAGUGCAUGUUUCAGGUUAAAGUUUUUCAGGUUGAAGUUUUUGGUCAAGGUAGUUUUUGAUGAAGUUGAAGUCCAAUCAACUUGAAAUUUAGUACACAUGUUCCUUAUGAUAUGAUCUUUCUAAUUUUAAAGCCAAAUUAAACUUUUGACCCCAAUUUCACGGUCCACUGAACAUAGAAAAUGAAAGUGCAUGUUUCAGGUUAAAGUUUUUGGUCAAGGUAGUUUUUGAUGAAGUUGAAGUCCAAUCAACUUGAAACUUAGUACACAUGUUCCUUAUGAUAUGAUCUUUCUAAUUUUAAAGCCAAAUUAAACUUUUGACCCCAAUUUCACGGUCCACUGAACAUAGAAAAUGAAAGUGCAUGUUUCAGGUUAAAGUUUUUCAGGUUAAAGUUUUUGGUCAAGGUAGUUUUUG
rnacentral:lncRNA from 1 species